rnacentral:rRNA from 1 species
GAUGAACGCUAGCGGCAGGCCUAAUACAUGCAAGUCGAACGGUGUCUUCGGACAUAGUGGCGCACGGGUGCGUAACACGUAUGCAACCUACCUUACAUUGGGGGAUAGCCUUUCGAAAGGGAGAUUAAUACCGCAUAAGACAGUAGCUGGGCAUCCAGCAGCUGUUAAAGAUUUAUCGAUGUAAGCUGGGCAUGCGUCCAAUUAGCUAGUUGGUGAGGUAACGGCUCACCAAGGCUAUGAUUGGUAGGGGAACUGAGAGGUCAAUCCCCCACACUGGCACUGAGAUACGGGCCAGACUCCUACGGGAGGCAGCAGUAGGGAAUAUUGGGCAAUGGACGCAAGUCUGACCCAGCCAUGCCGCGUGCAGGAUGAAGGCGUUAUGCGUUGUAAACUGCUUUUAUACAGGAAGAAACGACUCUUGCGAGAGGCAUUGACGGUACUGUAUGAAUAAGCACCGGCUAAC